AUUCCGCGUGUAGCAGUGAAAUGCGUAGAUAUGCGGAGGAACACCGAUGGCGAAGGCAGCCUCCUGGGAUAACACUGACGCUCAUGCACAGCAUUAGGGAGCAAACGGGAUUAGAUACCCUGUUGAGUCCACGCCUAAACGAUGUCAACUAGCUGUUGGGGCCUUCGGGCCUUGGUAGCGCAGCUAACGCGUGAAGUUGACCGCCUGGGAAGUACGGUCGCAAGAUUAAAACUCAAAGGAAUUGACGGGGACCCGCACAAGCGGUGGAUGAUGUGGAUUAGUGAUGCAACGCGAAAAGGCGCCUUUACCUACCCUUGACAUGUCUGGAAUCCCGAAGAGAUUUGGGAGUGCUCGCAAAGGGAGCCGGAACACAGGUGCUGCAUGGCUGUCGUCAGCUCGUGUCGUGAGAUGUUGGGUUAAGUCCCGCAACGAGCGCAACCCUUGUCAUUAGUUGCUACGAGGGCGCUCGUGAGACUGCCGGUGACAAACCGGAGGAAGGUGGGGAUGACGUCAAGUCCUCAUGGCCCUUAUGGGUAGGGCUUCACACGUCAUACAAUGGUCGGGACAGAGGGUCGCCAGCCCGCGAGGGGGAGCCAAUCCCAGAAACCCGAUCGUAGUCAGGAUCGCAGUCUGCAACUCGACUGCGUGAAGUCGGAAUCGCUAGUAAUCGCGGAUCAGCAUGUCGCGGUGAAUACGUUCCCGGGUCUUGUACACACCGCCCGUCACACCAUGGGAGUGGGUUUUACCAAGUAGUUAACUAACCGUAAGGAGGGCGAUUACCACAGUAAGUUCAUGACUGGGGUAAGUCGUAACAAGGUAG
rnacentral:misc_RNA from 1 species